CCUACGGGUGGCAGCAGUGGGGAAUAUUGGGCAAUGGAGGAAACUCUGACCCAGCAACGCCGCGUGAAUGAUGAAGGUCGUCGGAUUGUAAAGUUGUUUUCUAAGGGAAGAAGAAAGUGAUGGUACCUUAUGAAUAAGCCUCGCCUAACUAUGGGCCAGCAGCCGCGGUAAUACGUAGGAGGCGAGCGUUAUCCGGAUUGACUGGGUGUAAAGGGUGCGUAGGUGGUUGGACAAGUUAGUAGGUAAACUCCAAGGCUCAACCUCGGAACUACUACUAAAACUGUUGGACUUGAGAGCAGGAGGGGCAGCCGGAAUUGCUGGUGUAGCGGUGGAAUGCGUAGAUAUUAGAAGGAACACCAGUGGCGAAGGCAGGUUGCUAGGCUGUAACUGACACUGAGGCACGAAAGCGUGGGGAGCAAACAGGAUUAGAUACCCGAGUAGUC
rnacentral:rRNA from 1 species